rnacentral:rRNA from 2 species
UACAGAGGUCUCAAGCGUUGUUCGGAAUCACUGGGCGUAAAGGGUGCGUAGGCGGCUUGGUAAGUCAGAUGUGAAAGGCGGGGGCUCAACCUCCGGACUGCAUCCGAUACUGCCAAGCUAGAGUACUGGAGAGGUGUCUAGAAUUCUCGGUGUAGCAGUGAAAUGCGUAGAUAUCGAGAGGAAUACCAAUGGCGAAGGCAGGACACUGGACAGUUACUGACGCUGAGGCACGAAGGCUAGGGUAGCGAACGGG